rnacentral:misc_RNA from 1 species
UCAAAAUUGUUAGUAGCCUCUUCAAGUUCCGCAUAAGUGAAAAGAAAGACCCCAAAGUAGAGUCCUCCUUUCUCAGUAUCUGAAUUUGAAGAGAAGUAUGAUGUGGUGCUUUGAGAGACAAAGGAAGAUGGAGCAUAUGUUUUUCUCUUGUGGCGCCGUUGAUAGAUGUAGAAAAUUGCACACAUUAUGGCUCCACCUACAAAAGCUGCCCCAACAGCUAUACAAACUUUCAAUCCCACAUUCUUAUCAUUGCCUUUUGGACAAGUAUAAGAAUUGCGUUGGUCAGUGCAAAGGCAAGUGAAGCCGGACGUAGAAGAGUUGCUGCCGCAUAUCCCACCCGAAUUCUC